rnacentral:rRNA from 1 species
CGAGGGGCAGCAUGACCUAGCAAUAGGUUGAUGGCGACCGGCGCACGGGUGAGUAACACGUAUCCAACCUACCGGUUAUUCCGGGAUAGCCUUUCGAAAGAAAGAUUAAUACCGGAUAGUAUAACGAGAAGGCAUCUUCUUGUUAUUAAAGAAUUUCGAUAACCGAUGGGGAUGCGUUCCAUUAGUUUGUUGGCGGGGUAACGGCCCACCAAGACAUCGAUGGAUAGGGGUUCUGAGAGGAAGGUCCCCCACAUUGGAACUGAGACACGGUCCAAACUCCUACGGGAGGCAGCAGUGAGGAAUAUUGGUCAAUGGACGAGAGUCUGAACCAGCCAAGUAGCGUGAAGGAUGACUGCCCUAUGGGUUGUAAACUUCUUUUAUAUGGGAAUAAAGUGAGCCACGUGUGGCUUUUUGUAUGUACCAUACGAAUAAGGAUCGGCUAACUCCGUGCCAGCAGCCGCGGUAAUACGGAGGAUCCGAGCGUUAUCCGGAUUUAUUGGGUUUAAAGGGAGCGUAGGCGGACUAUUAAGUCAGCUGUGAAAGUUUGCGGCUCAACCGUAAAAUUGCAGUUGAUACUGGUCGUCUUGAGUGCAGUAGAGGUAGGCGGAAUUCGUGGUGUAGCGGUGAAAUGCUUAGAUAUCACGAAGAACUCCGAUUGCGAAGGCAGCUUACUGGACUGU